ACCUCGGAGCGGCUCAGCGCGGCGCACAAGUCUCGCGAGAGAAGCGGCGGCUGGGCCCUGCGGGCGGAGGAAGUGGAAGAAAUCGCGGGAGGGUAGUGGACCGCGGAACUUCUGGUUGCUAUGACGACGGCAAAGCCCUGGAUUCCUGUCUCCUGCGGAGAGCAGAGGCUGCAAACGUGGGUACAGUUUUCAACCUGCCCGGCGCACUGGCGGGCAUUCAAGAAGCCCUGAGGAGAGGUCCACAUGGUGAGCCACUGAGGGCCUUGCUGAGAGCCAGCACCAACAUGCCAGGUUUGGAGUGUACCACCUUGGAAGUGCAUCUUCCAGUCCAGUCAAGCCUUCAGGUGACUUCAGAACCGUCCCUGUAAGCCACUCUUGGAUUUCUCACCCACAGAAUCUGUUGGAGACAGACAAACAUAUGCCUCCUGAUUGAAAAAACAGAACAUCACCUGUAGUCUUGCCAGUGAGAUCAAACUGAAGUCCAAUUAACCUCUGGAUCCAGCUGCCAAUUUGCAGGAAAUAGAGGACAGAAGCAUCUGUUGAACUGCACCAUGAGUAUACACUCAGCAAAGGCCAAACUGUGGAAAAUGAUACAGGCCAAACAGCCUUUAACAGGAAGUGAUGUUUCUGAAGCACCAAUGAAAAUGAAGUCCUGAAGUCUUGUGCUCAAUAUGUAAUGUUGGAAGUUAGAAAGAAAAAAACAAAACGUGGAUCCAAUCUCAAGGCACUUUUGGUUUAGUGGGAAGAAGUGGAUUAUUUUAAAAGCUACAAAUAAAGUUACAUAAAAGUAGCAAA